rnacentral:rRNA from 1 species
CGUAGGGACCAAGCGUUGUUCGGAUUUACUGGGCGUAAAGGGCGCGUAGGCGGCAAUUCAAGUCAGCUGUGAAAUCUCUGGGCUUAACCCAGAACGGCCAGCUGAUACUGCUUUGCUAGAGUGCAGAAGGGGCAAUCGGAAUUCUUGGUGUAGCGGUGAAAUGCGUAGAUAUCAAGAGGAACACCUGAGGUGAAGACGGGUUGCUGGGCUGACACUGACGCUGAGGCGCGAAAGCCAGGGGAGCAAACGGGAUUAGAUACCCCGGUAGUCCUGGCCCUAAACGAUGAAUACUUGGUGUCUGGAGUUUUUAGUGCUCCGGGUGCCGUCGCUUAACGUUUUAGUAUUCCGCCUGGGGAGUACGCUCGCAAGAGUG